GAAAAGUGAUUUUAAAUAUAUUGGUUUAACAAAACGCCGAGGUCACGGAGGCCGCCGACAGUCGCGGAGGGAACUUUUCCCGUAACCGAAUAAUGUACAAACUACCAAAAAAAUCCUCUUUAUGAGCCAGGAAAGUAUUUGUUUGCAUUAAACACUUUUCCAGGCGCUUGUCUUGUGUAUUAUAAUGUUAAAGGAGAUUGGGCAAGAAUGUAUGAAGUUUGGUCCAAAUGUCCACCACGAACGAGACCUAUAUAAUUAAAUAGUCCACUUAAUUUAGAGUAACUUUUACUAAGAAAUAAAAAAAAAAACAAUGCCAAAAAAAAGUUAUAGCCAAAAAUGUAUUCUUAAUUUUCGGUAGUUUUUGUAUGUUAUCAUUAUUAUUUUUUAUUUUAUUCCACUUCCAUUUCCGCACUUUAUCUAAAACUAAGUUAAGUAAGACACAUUUGC
rnacentral:lncRNA from 1 species